AUCCCUGUAGCGCAAUGGACAGCGCGUUGAACUUUUAACCCAAAGAUCGUGGCUUCGAAUAUCACCUGGGAUG